rnacentral:rRNA from 1 species
GACGAACGCUGGCGGCGUGCUUAACACAUGCAAGUCGAGCGGUAAGGCCCUUUCGGGGGUACACGAGCGGCGAACGGGUGAGUAACACGUGGGUGACCUGCCCUCAGCUCUGGGAUAAGCCUGGGAAACCGGGUCUAAUACCGGAUAUGACUCCAUGACGCAUGUUGUGGGGUGGAAAGCCUUGUGCGGCUGAGGAUGGGCCCGCGGCCUAUCAGCUUGUUGGUGGGGUGAGGCCUACCAAGGCGACGACGGGUAGCCGGCCUGAGAGGGCGACCGGCCACACUGGGACUGAGACACGGCCCAGACUCCUACGGGAGGCAGCAGUGGGGAAUCUUGCGCAAUGGGCGAAAGCCUGACGCAGCGACGCCGCGUGAGGAUGACG